rnacentral:rRNA from 1 species
UACAGAGGGUGCGAGCGUUAAUCGGAAUUACUGGGCGUAAAGGGCGCGUAGGCGGUUAUUUAAGUUAGAUGUGAAAUUCCUGGGCUUAACCUAGGAACUGCAUCUGAUACUGGAUAGCUGGAGUGCGGUAGAGGGUAGUGGAAUUUCCGGUGUAGCGGUGAAAUGCGUAGAUAUCGGAAGGAACACCAGUGGCGAAGGCGGCUACCUGGACUGACACUGACGCUGAGGCGCGAGAGCGUGGGGAGCAAACAGG